GCCCCUUAUGACCUGGGCUACAAACGUGAUACAAUGGCUGAAACAAAGGGCAGCGAAGGAGCGAUCUGGAGCGAAACCCAAAAAGCAGUCUCAGUUCGGAUUGAAGUCUGCAACUCGACUUCAUGAAGUCGGAAUCGCUAGUAAUCGCGGAUCAGAACGCCGCGGUGAAUACGUUCUCGGGGUCU
rnacentral:rRNA from 1 species